UGCUUACUUUGUUGUGUGGUGCUUAGUGCGUUGUGUGGUGCUUACUUUGUUGUGUGGUGCUUAGUGCGUUGUGUGGUGCUUAGUUCGUUGUGUGGUGCUUAGUUCGUUGUGUGGUGCUUUGUUUGUUGUGUGGUGCUUUGUUCGUUGUGUGGUGCUUAGUUCGUUGUGUGGUGCUUUGUUUGUUGUGUGGUGCUUUGUUUGUUGUGUGGUGCUUUGUUUGUUGUGUGGUGCUUUGUUCGUUGUGUGGUGCUUAGUUCGUUGUGUGGUGCUUUGUUUGUUGUGUGGUGCUUUGUUUGUUGUGUGGUGCUUUGUUCGUUGUGUGGUGCUUUGUUCGUUGUGUGAUGCUUUGUUUGUUGUGUGGUGCUUAGUGCGUUGUGUGGUGCUUAGUUCGUUGUGUGGUGCUUUGUUCGUUGUGUGGUGCUUAGUGCGUUGUGUGGUGCAUUAUUAUGAAUUUAACACAGACUGUUUUCUGUCGGUUUAUUAAUUCUUGUCAGAUUAAUUAAAAGAACAUUUGGCAACGAUCAUGCAACAUUUGGCUAUUAUUAAUUGGACUUUGUCAUGGCAAUAACACUUUUUUGGUCCGGGGUGGCUUCCGUAAAUUGCCCCACAUAUACAAAAUUUUCCUAGUAAUGUUGGCGACGGGAAAAUUGGUGUAUUCAAAAAAUAUUCCGAACAAACAUGAUUCCGAUUACAUUUUGCCUGUUUUGCCUUUUUCUUUCAUUUUCCUCUAAAUUUGCUAUAAACUUCGAAAUUUCUAAUCGUGUUUUUGGGCCCAUCUAUUAUAGUCCCUGCGCC